rnacentral:rRNA from 1 species
GAUGAACGCUGGCGGCGUGCCUAAUACAUGCAAGUCGAGCGAACAGACGAGGAGCUUGCUCCUCGGACGUUAGCGGCGGAGGGGUGAGUAACACGUGGAUAACCUACCUAUAAGACUGGGAUAACUUCGGGAAACCGGAGCUAAUACCGGAUAAUAUAUUGAACCGCAUGGUUGAAUAGUGAAAGACGGUUUUUGUGUCAGUUAUAGAUGGAUCCGCGCCGCAUUAUCUAGUUGGUAAGGUAACGGCUUCCCAAGGAAACGAUGCGUAGCCGACCUGAGAGGGGGUAGGGCCCCACAGGGAGUGAGACGCGACCCAGACACUGACGGAAGGCAGAGAUAGGGAAUCUACGGAAAAGUGGGAAAGCCUGAAGGAGCGACGCGGCGUGGGUGAUGAAGCUCUGCGGAUCGUAAAACUCUGUUAUUAGGGAAAACCAAAUUUGUAAGUAACGAUGCGCGUCUGACGGUACCUAAUCAGAAAGCCACGGCUAACUACGUG